CAGAAGGGAGCUUGCUCCCGGAUGUUAGCGGCGGACGGGUGAGUAACACGUGGGUAACCUGCCUGUAAGACUGGGAUAACUCCGGGAAACCGGAGCUAAUACCGGAUAGUUCCUUGAACCGCAUGGUUCAAGGAUGAAAGACGGUUUCGGCUGUCACUUACAGAUGGACCCGCGGCGCAUUAGCUAGUUGGUGAGGUAACGGCUCACCAAGGCGACGAUGCGUAGCCGACCUGAGAGGGUGAUCGGCCACACUGGGACUGAGACACGGCCCAGACUCCUACGGGAGGCAGCAGUAGGGAAUCUUCCGCAAUGGACGAAAGUCUGACGGAGCAACGCCGCGUGAGUGAUGAAGGUUUUCGGAUCGUAAAGCUCUGUUGUUAGGGAAGAACAAGUGCAAGAGUAACUGCUUGCACCUUGACGGUACCUAACCAGAAAGCCACGGCUAACUACGUGCCAGCAGCCGCGGUAAUACGUAGGUGGCAAGCGUUGUCCGGAAUUAUUGGGCGUAAAGGGCUCGCAGGCGGUUUCUUAAGUCUGAUGUGAAAGCCCCCGGCUCAACCGGGGAGGGUCAUUGGAAACUGGGAAACUUGAGUGCAGAAGAGGAGAGUGGAAUUCCACGUGUAGCGGUGAAAUGCGUAGAGAUGUGGAGGAACACCAGUGGCGAAGGCGACUCUCUGGUCUGUAACUGACGCUGAGGAGCGAAAGCGUGGGGAGCGAACAGGAUUAGAUACCCUGGUAGUCCACGCCGUAAACGAUGAGUGCUAAGUGUUAGGGGGUUUCCGCCCCUUA
rnacentral:rRNA from 1 species